GCAAGGUGUUGGUGAUGAGGCCUAUGAGUUAUCACUUCUCUGAGCACAAGGGGACACUGGCGACUCCUGCCCCCAGCCAGGUCAAACUCUCAGAAGCCCAGCUCUGUCGACUCCUGGCUAGACUGGGGCCCUGGGAAGAACAGCACAUGUCCUGCUUCUAGGAACUUCUGCUCCAGUGUGGGAGGCAGAUGCAUGAAGAAGUACCAGCCUGUGGCAUGGUGAGUGCCACCGACAAUUCAGGCACGGUUUUACAGGAGAGAGAUGCAGAAAUUGCUCCCCACACCCCUGCUGUCUCCUGGUGACCAGAAGGGCCACAUGGAUGACCCUGAAGUGCCAGCCCCUUGGUUCUUUGUCCACUCCUGCCUGGUGGCUCUUUCCUUCUCCCCUUGGUCACACCCUGGACCUGAUCAUGGCUUGGAGCCCAUUCCUGUGAAGUCUGAAUUAGGCUCCCCUCUGGGAUGUGGUGCAGCCACAAAGCCCACCACCCUCAUCCACUGUGAGAUGCCUUGGACCUUGCCUUCGGCUCUGUCUUCCCAGUCUCUGCCUCUCUGGCUUCAUGAGCAGUCAUUUUAACUGCUUUUUGAUUGUGGUCCCCUGUUAGUCCCCAGAUCUGGGAUGACAGCUGUGGCUGGUGUCUCCAUGGCACCUAUGUCAUGGCUGGCCCCAGGCACCCCAUGGCCUCCAUCCUGAGCCCAGUCCUCCUUCCUCCACAGGGGCUUCUUCACGCUCUACUCUCCCCAACCUCGGUCCUUGCCUGCUGCUCACCUCCUUCACUGGAGACAGCGUACCUGGCAGGUGGAGUGGGGCCGAGGGCUCCUCCCUGACUCCCUGCCCAAUUGCAGGUUACCCUGGCAGACUGUUUCCACGGGUUGGCAUAAUGAAAACGAGCAACUCAGUUGUACAGCACAGACAACUCGGCCCCCAGUGCUAACAGUGGCCUGGACUCAUCACGGGCCCUCUGCUCUGAGAGCCUCGGGAGGCUUCCAUCCUUCUUUCUGCUGCUGAAGUCAGGUUGGUAUUAUUCUCCUCCAUGAGGUCUUUCUCGUCAUCGAACACCCUUAGCUUUCUACAGCUCUUCAUCCCCUUUCCCAGCCUGGAUAGAUGCACAUCUUUCCUUUUCCAGUGCCCAGGCAGAUGAAUGUCUGGUUACUUGAUAAUGGGCCUGGAUUUGGGGCUGUUUGUAAGCUCAUAUGUUCACCAUUCACUUCUUGCCCAUAUUCCAGGCCCAGACCUUUGCCCAAUGGUACCCCCACCCCUGGAAUCCCUUGGAAAUUACACACCAUUGGUUCCCCCUGUUGCAAAAACACAACACAGCUUUAAAACCACAGUGCCCCCAGAGGCCACACGAUGGUGCUGUCUGCAUCCUCAGGCCAGGAGUCUGUUCCCUCCUCUAUAAUAAUAUUCACGCUGUGAGCACCAUGCCUAGCCCUUCACGGAUGCGGCUUUACUAGAGCCUUACAACAACUAUGAGGAUUAUACUAAAAUUACACCAUCCGUGGCCGGGGUCAUGAGGCUCUGGUGGCUGAGGCCGGUUCAAAUCUGAUGCUCAAAUCUGACAUUCUUGGCUCAUGCCCAUUCCUCCCCCUGCUCUACACUGCUUUCUGAGCUCCUGGUGACUGAGCCACGCUUUUCAACAACUGCCCAUUUGAGGCUUUUAGUGCAUAAGCCCCUCACUCGCUCAGCACUUCAUGUCACCUGCCUGUGCUGAAUCCUGGGUGGGGACGGAGACAAGUGCAGGGAGGCACCACUCGGCCCUGCUGCUGAGGAGAACCUGCCCGGAGGGAAGACACGCAGAACGAGGUAUGUCAGCCCUCCGCCCUCUUCCUUCCAUCAGUCCUGUGAGGUCCCCAAGAUCCACUUUAUUAUGUGCUGGGACCUAACUGAUUCCCGGGGCUUGAGUCCUCGGGAGCCUCAGAGGCUCGUGUUUCUCUUGCAAAAAACAAUCACUCUGAGAGGUUGUGCCUUUAGUCCUGGUGGACAAAGACUGUCAAUAGAGCAGGGCCCAGAAUCAGGCUCUGUCACGCCUGAGGCAGAAGCCAGUCCAUUCCCUCCCUCCUUUCUCCGGGCAUCUCGGUAGCAGGAAAGCACACUUUCCUUGAGGAUGAGGAGCUCUGCAGAGUAAAUGGGAAGGCAGGGCUGGACGGGGAGCCCCGGGUGAAGGGAGCAGCCCGGCUAGCACAUUUCCAGCCCCUGGGCCCUUCUGGGGCUGGCCUGGCUCCUGAAACCUCGCUUAUUUCACUCUUCUACGUAGAGAAAGAGGCACACUCUCGCCAACAGAGAUGAGCUGGGUCUGCUGUGCCGGGCACAACAGCUCUGCUCUCGAGUUCUGUCUGACGGGAGAGGCGGGCAGCAAGACAUCUGGGGCCAGGGCUGAGGAACCCCCGAGGGAAAGCUGGCUUGUGCUGGACGCCGCUGAGGAGAGCUCCACUGAGGUGGGGCAGCCAAGACAAGGGGCAUCGGCACAUGGAGGCCCCUCAGGGUGCUGCUGGAGCAGAGCCCAGGGAUGUUGGAGGGGCCCAGAAGGUCACUCCGGCUGCUGAGACAGAACACUGACAAAUCAUAUGCCAAAAUGGGGAGGUUGGUCUCCUGUAAGAGGAGUGCCUUCAAUUUCAGCAUCUCAGGAGAGCCAGGGACCACAGAUCUGCGCCGGCUGAGCCACACAAGAGCCUGAGUGAUGGGAGGGGAGUUCUGGGCGUUGGGGUGUGGCCCUGGCUCCCGCAGGCUCCAUGUGGACCAUCCGCCGGGCCCUCGCUCCUGGCAGGAGCUUGACUGACAGGUGGCACUUCCCUGGACAGGCUGAGCACAGUCAGAGCUGAGGCCUGGGCAUGAGCGCCUCACCACGCUGGGCCUCCACAGUAGCCGCACCAGCCCCCUCCGUUCACGGAACCCCUUCUGGGAGAACUGAGAAGUCUUGAGGGGAAUACAGAGAAGAUCCGCACCUGAAGCAGCUGCUGCCUCUGGGGGCGGAAAGCCCCGUUCUGUAGCAGCUGGCCAAACGGUGCUUCGGAAAACUUUGGAAGCACCAAGAGCAGCUUUUGGAUGGGGAGCAGAAAGUCAACACGCUGAGCGUGUCAGGCUCAGAGGAAGAUAAAUGCGUAAUGACCAAAUUACCGUGGUCUAAAAGCUCUCCCAAUUGCAUCCAAAUUAGCAGAAAUAAUUAUGAUUCACUUUAAUUAGUGACUGUGGAAGUGAAGCCUCGGGCUGGUGGGCAGAGGGCCUGGUGUGGCAGCUGCGUGACAGCCAGGAGGAAGAGGGCAUGCUGGCCAGUGAGCCUGGUGGCCUGAGGCAGCGGGUGUGGUAACGCCCAGGGCCUGAGAGGCCUGCCUGCAAGCCUACCGCCAUUUGUCUGCAAUGAUUCAGAGAAGGGGCUCCCUGCCUCCACCGCCUACCACCUUCACCACCGGCACCGUGGGAACGUCCCAGGCCUCGCCGCUCCCGUGCCGCUCCCCACCUUAUGAGUAGGCUCUGCGUUGCCCCCGCUUUACAGAUGGGGGAAUGGUGGCUCAGAGAUCUGAGGAACUUGCCUGAGAUCACCCAGCCUGGAGCCUCGGCUCCUGUCCCUGCAUUAUUUCCCUUGUCUCUGAGCUGGGGGCCCCCCAGUUCCACUCCAUGAAAGGUCUUGUCUGCCCCAUGCCCUCCAAGAGAGCGAGGACCCUGGCUGCAGCCUGCCUCCCCCCAUGGCUCUGGGCCCUGCUGGCUGAGGCCUCCUACCUUGAGAUACAGAGCUCCCUUCGAGGCCAGGCUGUCGGAGGACCGCCCGUUGGGGUAACAGUGAUAGGCCACGUCCAUGAUGGGGUAGCGGCUGGCAAAGAAGAGGCCGCUGUUGAGACACUUGAAGCUGCAGCAGCCAUGGCAGCCGUAGACUCCGACAUCAUAGAGGAUGUACUCGAAGUAGCCGUGCAGCUGGUCUUUCAACUUGGCGGCCGCCCGCUUGUCAAACACCUCCUGCAGGCAUAGGAAGUCCAGGUUGGCAGGAAAGAAGGCUGAGACCUCGUGGUCAAAGGCCUCGUCCGGGUGGCGCCUCCUGCGCACGGCUGCCUUCUUCGCCACCGAGGACUUGUACGGGAGCUUGCUGUUGGCGCCCGGCUCCCCACCGCCGCCGUCAGCCCCGGCCCGCGCCUUCACCAGUGACUCCCUGGAGGCCGAGGGGCUGCCCAGGCUCCCCGAGUCCCCAUCCCGCUGACUCUGGUUGGGCGUCUGGCCCCGUGGGCCCCCACCAGCCCCGUUCCUGGCCUGGCCCCCAGAAGGGGGGUCGACGGCUUCAGGGGGCCGGCCCCCCUCGUCGCCACUGAUGCGCACGAUGCAGGCGUCCUCAAGGCUGCCACCUUCAGCUGGGUCCCCGGAGGCCAGGCCAUUGGCAGCCUCGUCGCUAGGGUGACGCCCACCGUAUUCCACAGAGGCCGUCCUCUUAAUGCUCCCAGGGACGGCCCGGGCCACGCCAUCACUGCCCUGCGGUGACACCAGGCUGCUGAAGCUGGCCGCGCUGAUGGAGGUGUUGGUGGGUGAGUCGAUGUAGAUUUUGAUCUGGGGCCUACUGGCCCCAUUGCGGAUUCUCUGGCCGAUUUCUUUGGCCCGGGCUUGGGUGUUGAAAACGUUGUUGAGCCUAGCCAGCGAGUCCGGGAGGAGGCAGAGGUUGGCAGUGGCGAAGCAGAAGCUUUUGCCAGGACCUGUACCCUUCCAUUCACUGUGCAGGGCCGCCCCGCUGGCUGGGCCCUUGUCCUCCAGCCGGGAGUAGACGUAGGGCCGGCGGGCCGACUGCAGGGUGGACCAGAGGAGGAACCCAAGGAGCGCAAAGGGCAGCGAGGCGACCAGGAGGGCCAGGUAGACGGGCGUGAAGAGCACGGUGCAGAGCAGCUGGAGGUAGCACGGGUCAUCCGCCCGCUGGCGCUUCUCGUAGGUGGUGGGUAUGAAGGAGGCCAGGAGCCGGUCCGCCAGCCAGUAGCAUGGGAAGAUGAGGGCCCAGGACACGGCGUGCAGGGCGGACAGACAGCUGUUGGGAAAGGGGGUCGUGUACAAAACCAUUGCAGCUCAGUGGGCGCCGCAGCCGGCCCUACUACAUGAUGUCCCUGGCGGUGCAGGCACUUUCCUGGGCGGGGCGGGCGAGUGGGGGGCGGCCGGAGGAGGGUCACGUGCUGGUGAGACACGACUGUGGAUGGUCAGCGGCACAUGUCGGCCAGCCAGUCAUGGUUCCCCUCAGUGGGCCAUGCUGGGCCACCAAAGGCUGCUGGAGAACCUGCAAGACAGAAAGUGAGGGGUCUUUUAUUCAUCUUUAGGGGGCCAGGUCGGAUGCUGGGGUCGUUGCCCUGCUCACCCCACUCCUGCCUCCUGUGACAUGAGCAGGACUGUUCUGAGGACCAGGCCGGAGCUGGCAGGCUCACGUGGGGCGUUUGGGACCAGGAGCGGGCCUGGCAUGCUGCAUUUGCCUGUGUGUUUGGCUCUCUUCAAGGAAACUGCCUGGUGACCU